rnacentral:rRNA from 1 species
UGGGGAAUAUUGCACAAUGGGGGGAACCCUGAUGCAGCAACGCCGCGUGAAGGAAGACGGUUUUCGGAUUGUAAACUUCUAUCAAUAGGGAAGAAAGAAAUGACGGUACCUAAAUAAGAAGCCCCGGCUAACUACGUGCCAGCAGCCGCGGUAAUACGUAGGGGGCAAGCGUUAUCCGGAAUUACUGGGUGUAAAGGGAGAGUAGGCGGCAAGGUAAGCGAUAUGUGAAAGCCUUAGGCUUAACCUGAGGAUUGCAUAACGAACUAUCUAGCUAGAGUACAGGAGAGGAAAGCGGAAUUCCUAGUGUAGCGGUGAAAUGCGUAGAUAUUAGGAAGAACACCAGUGGCGAAGGCGGCUUUCUGGACUGAAACUGACGCUGAGGCUCGAAAGCGUGGGGAGCGAACAGG